rnacentral:rRNA from 1 species
GAUGAACGCUGGCGGCGUGCCUAAUACAUGCAAGUCGAGCGAACAGAUGAGGAGCUUGCUCCUCUGACGUUAGCGGCGGACGGGUGAGUAACACGUGGAUAACCUACCUAUAAGACUGGGAUAACUUCGGGAAACCGGAGCUAAUACCGGAUAAUAUAUUGAACCGCAUGGUUCAAUAGUGAAAGACGGUUUUGCUGUCACUUAUAGAUGGAUCCGCGCCGCAUUAGCUAGUUGGUAAGGUAACGGCUUACCAAGGCAACGAGGCGUAGCCGACCUGAGAGGGUGAUCGGCCACACUGGAACUGAGACACGGUCCAGACUCCUACGGGAGGCAGCAGUAGGGAAUCUUCCGCAAUGGGCGAAAGCUUGACGGAGCAACGCCGCGUGAGUGAUGAAGGUCUUCGGAUCGUAAAACUCUGUUAUUAGGGAAGAACAAAUGUGUAAGUAACUAUGCACGUCUUGACGGUACCUAAUCAGAAAGCCACGGCUAACUACGUG